rnacentral:rRNA from 1 species
CCUACGGGAGGCAGCAGUGAGGAAUAUUGGUCAAUGGACGAGAGUCUGAACCAGCCACGUCGCGUGAAGGAUGACUGCCCUCUGGGUUGUAAACUUCUUUUACAUGGGAGUAACAUGUUCCACGUGUGGGAAUUUGUAUGUACCAUCUGAAUAAGGACAGGCUAACUACGUGCCAGCAGCCGCGGGUAUUCGGAGGUUCCGAGCGUUAACCGGAUUUAUUGGGUUUAAAGGGUGCGUUGGUGGAUUGUUUAGUCAGUUGUGAAAGUUUGCGGCUCAACCGUAAAAUUGCAGUUGAAACUGGCAGUCUUGAGUGCAGGAGAGGUGAGCGGAAUUCGUGGUGUAGCGGUGAAAUGCUUAGAUAUCACGAAGAACUCCGAUUGCGAAGGCAGUUCACUGGACUGCAACUGACACUGAGGCACGAAAGUGUGGGGAUCAAACAGGAUUAGAUACCCGGGUAGUC